UCUUCAUUUCACGUACUCUCUCAUCGGUCAGAGUGACGAGAGAGCACGCUGAAUGAAGAAA
rnacentral:pre_miRNA from 1 species